rnacentral:rRNA from 1 species
AACGAACGCUGGCGGCAGGCUUAGCACAUGCAAGUCGAGCGCCCCGCAAGGGGAGCGGCAGACGGGUGAGUAACGCGCGGGAAUCUACCCAUCUCUACGGAAUAACGCAUGGAAACGUGUGCUAAUACCGUAUACGUCCUUCGGGAGAAAGAUUUAUCGGAGAUGGAUGAGCCCGCGUUGGAUUAGCUAGUUGGUGGGGUAAAGGCCUACCAAGGCGACGAUCCAUAGCUGGUCUGAGAGGAUGAUCAGCCACACUGGGACUGAGACACGGCCCAGACUCCUACGGGAGGCAGCAGUGGGGAAUAUUGGACAAUGGGCGCAAGCCUGAUCCAGCCAUGCCGCGUGAGUGAUGAAGGCCCUAGGGUUGUAAAGCUCUUUCACCGGUGAAGAUAAUGACGGUAACCGGAGAAGAGGCCCCGGCUAACUUCGUGCCAGCCGCCGCGGUAAAAC